rnacentral:misc_RNA from 1 species
UCCGGCUUUCACCGGCUGUCUCGUUAGAGUGCCCAACUGAAUGCUGGCAACUAACGAUAAGGGUUGCGCUCGUUGCGGGACUGAACCCAACAUCUCACGACACGAGCUGACGACAACCAUGCACCACCUGUCACCGCUGCUCCGAAGAGGGACUCUAUCUCUGAGGCUUUCCGGGUGAUGUCAAACCCAGGUAAGGUUCUUCGCGUUGCAUCGAAUUAAUCCGCAUGCUCCGCCGCUUGUGCGGGCCCCCGUCAAUUCCUUUGAGUUUUAGCCUUGCGGCCGUACUCCCCAGGCGGGGCACUUAAUGCGUUAGCUACGGCACAGAACCAGUGGAACUGGCCCCACACCUAGUGCCCAACGUUUACGGCAUGGACUAC